rnacentral:rRNA from 1 species
UACGUAGGGUGCGAGCGUUAAUCGGAAUUACUGGGCGUAAAGCGUGCGCAGGCGGUUCUCCAAGUCCGUUGUGAAAGCCCCGGGCUCAACCUGGGAAUGGCAGUGGAAACUAGGGGACUGGAAUCUGGCAGAGGGGGGUGGAAUGCCGCGUGUAGCAGUGAAAUGCGUAGAGAUGCGGCGGAACACCGAUGGCGAAGGCAGCCCCCUGGGCUGAGACUGACGCUCAGGCACGAAAGCGUGGGGAGCAAACAGG